rnacentral:misc_RNA from 1 species
AAAUUACCUUGGCCAUACAAUCAUGGCAAUCGUUGCACUUGACAGGAACUUGGCACAUACAGUGGUUCUAUAUAUUAGAUGAUGAAUUGUCGGCAAAUGUAGACCCAUAAGCUUAACCGCUUAGAUUUCUUGCUGUAGUAAUGGUUAAAUAUCUUGGAGGACAUAAUUCUCAUUUGCAGUUAUUCUACUGGGCGAUAUAAAGAUCUUGUUUAGCUAUGAAGUAACGUCCAAUGACAUUUCCUGGUUCCAUGAUAAACUGUUCCUGAAAUGUGCCCAUGCGCUUAUUGGGAAUGUCAAUUGAAAGAUCUUUAACAUUUGGCAAUCCCUCUACUUGCAAACCAUCCCCACAUAUGAGGAACUGAUUUCCAAUUAUAAAGGAACCGGAUACGCGGAUUGCAACUCCAUCUUGACCAUGAGCACGGCACUGCAGUUUUUCCACAAUGUGAACAAGUCUUUCAGGAGGCCAAUCACCAGCUAAUGUGCUCCGGAUGUUUGACAAGGUUGCAAAGAUAUCUCUAGGACCAACAGACUGUUUCCCAGAGAAACUAAAAGUUGAGCCUUCAUUAUAUAAUGUCUUUGCGUGCUGCCAAAGCUCAUCCGGGCCAUCAAAAAGUAAGUAAUAGUGUAUCGUCAGCAUAUCUGCCAAAUCCUUCAUUUUUUGUGUUGGAUCAAAAACGCUUUGGACAUAUGAUGCCAGGUCUACACUAGUGUGAGCAUACUUCAUGAUAAAUGGGUGUGAAAGAAGCUGCUCUGCUGUUGGCCUAGCAUCAGGAUCCUUCUGGAGGCAAGUAUCAAUAAAUGAGCAGAACUCUGGAGAAAAUUUGUGUUUGGACGGUGAUGGCGAUGGAUCUUCCAAGAUCUGCAACAUAAGGUUGACAGGUCCCUCAUUAGCUGUGUAUGGGAACUCCCCUGUGCCACACUCAAAGAGAGCAAGACCAAGGCUCCAAAUAUCAGCUGGAUAAGAAUAGCUGUCAUUUCGAAUUCGCUCAGGUGACAUGUAUGUGACAGUCCCAACAAAAGUAGCGCACAUCGCCAUUGAAUUCUCUAGGCCAGCACUUAUGCCAAAAUCUGUUAUUUUUGGCUCCCCCUUGAGAUUCACAAGCAGAUUUGCUGGUUUUAUAUCUCUGUGAACCAAAUGUCUAACCCCAUGCAAGUAGCUUAGACCAUGAAGAAGCUUUUGAAACAUAUGUGAAAGCACUGGUUCUGGUAUCCUUUUACGCACUCGUAACAUGUCUGCUAAUGAACCUCCAUCCAUAUAUUCUAAAGCUAUGCUUAUUUGCCCAGAGUCAGGAGUAUAAAAUGCUCCAUGGAAUUCCACAAGACCCUCAUAACAAGGUGCCUCGCACAGUGUCCGUAUCUCAGUAAGAAGCUGUUGUCUUUUCUCCUUUUCAAAAAUAUUAAUUUUCUUCAGGGCAAGAAUUCUAUGUGUAGGAAUAUGAAUAGCUCUCUGAACAACACUGCUGGCACCACUACCUAUAGCUCCAAAAAUUCUCAUCUCUUGGGAGGCACAUCGAUAUGUUUUCUCACUGUGGUCUGUUUCAUCUACCGGUAAAGAAGUGCACUUUUGCAAUCCCAGCUCAUUUAUGUUGUACACUCCAUAUGAUCUGCUUAAUAAGUUAACAGUUCCACCAUCUGACAGCAUAUAAGAAUCACUAGGGUCUAAGGUUGACCCGACAGAGAAGCCCUUGUCAGCAUCAAAUAAGGGUGCAAGCUUCUUCCUUAAUUCCUCCAACCCAGCCAUGAUAAAUUACCAACUUACCACAUCAAUUGCAGAAACAUUG